AUAAACUUAAAUUUUCAAAAAUAAUUUUUGUUAGAUAUGACUCAAAAUCUAUUAUCGACUCAAGUUCGGAUUUACGACUCGCCGACAGCUUCGCGGUGCGACCAACUUGGAAAAAAAAAUUAUGAAGAAAAAAUGAAUGCUUGUGGUGGGUAGCGGAGGGCUCGGGCUGACAGGCCCGAGCCCGUAGCCCACCACUGACAUUCGCCAGAGGGUGCGGGGGGCUCCGUCCCCCGCGGUACGGAUCGAAUCCGAAACCCGUUAUGAGUUUUCCUUCUCAUUUUUGCCCUAGAGACGUGUGAUCGUGGUUGGUUGUAACCUGAAGAACAUUGUAUUUUCUUUUUCGUUCCAUAGUGAAGUUCUCUCCUCCCUCACCCGUGGUUUUUUUUCUGCAAAGAGUUUUUCACGUAAAUCUGUAUUUCUUUAUUUUCUGCUUGUGGUUUGAUUGUUUUUUGUGUUCGUCAUUUCGUUUCCGUUUGUGCAUUUGUCGUAACAAUUUUUUUUUAAAAUUGUCCGAAGUCAUCUUUAUAAAAUUAUUCAAAACAUUGCCUAUUACUAGAUGUUGAAUCUCCCCAAACAUUAUACUAGUUGAUGGUGAGACUAAUAUUUUUAUUUUUACCAAACUUAAGUUUUCAACGAAAUUACAAUAACAUCAAUGUAAAAUGUCCUUUAGAAUCAGAAUCCCUAUAUGUUAAGCCAAGAUUUGUCACCAAAAAUUAUUUGUUACUCUUACUUACUUUUUAACAAAUAUUUUUUUGAGAAAAAAUUAGCAUGCUGUCCGCUUUAA
rnacentral:lncRNA from 1 species